GUACACGCUGUGACUAGCAUAUCAAUAAGCGGAGGAAAAGAAACUAACAAGGAUUCCCCUAGUAACGGCGAGUGAAGCGGGAAGAGCUCAAAUUUGAAAUCUUAAAGGGUUUCCCUUUACGAAUUGUAGUUUAAAGAAGUGUUUUCUGUUGAGGUUUUGGUAAAAGUUCUUUGGAAUAGGACAUCAUAGAGGGUGAGAAUCCCGUAUUUGACCUUUACUUUCAACUUUGUGAUACACUUUCAAAGAGUCGGAUUGUUUGGGAAUGCAGUCCAAAAUGGGUGGUAAAUUUCAUCUAAAGCUAAAUAUUGGCGAUGAGACCGAUAGCGAACAAGUACCGUGAGGGAAAGAUGAAAAGAACUUUGAAAAGAGAGUUAAACAGUACGUGAAAUUGUCAAAAGGGAAGCGUUUGACACCAGUGUUGUUUUUCUGAAAAUCAAUUAAAGAACUGUUUAUGCUAAGCUGUUUAGACUUUAUCAGCUAUCUGUUUAGUUUUGAGCUUUUCUUUAAUGCACUUUUCAGUUAACAAGUCAACAUCAAUUUCUUUUGCUGUAAAAAAGCUUGAGGAAGGUGGCUUGAGACUUCGUCUUAAGUGUUUAUAGCCUCUUGCCUAUGCAGUCGGAGAGAUUGAGGUCUGCAGCGUAGAUCCUUCGGGGCUAAAUGCAUUUGUGCUAAGUUAUAGCAUUUUAUAGACAACUUGUUGACUAUGAUUUGUCUUGUAGCUUACUCGCUUAUGUUAUUUUACCUACGCUUAGGAUGUUGAAGAUGUAGCACAUCAUC
rnacentral:rRNA from 1 species